GAUGAACGCUAGCGGCAGGCCUAAUACAUGCAAGUCGAGGGGUAUGGGUUGCUUGCAACCCAGAGACCGGCGCACGGGUGCGUAACGCGUAUGCAAUCUACCUUAAUCAGGGGGAUAGCCCGGAGAAAUCCGGAUUAACACCGCAUAACAUUGAGUUGCGGCAUCACAGUUCAAUCAAAUAUUUAUAGGAUUAAGAUGAGCAUGCGUGACAUUAGUUAGUUGGUGAGGUAACGGCUCACCAAGACCACGAUGUCUAGGGGAUCUGAGAGGAUGACCCCCCACACUGGUACUGAGACACGGACCAGACUCCUACGGGAGGCAGCAGUAAGGAAUAUUGGUCAAUGGGCGCAAGCCUGAACCAGCCAUGCCGCGUGCAGGAAGACGGCCCUAUGGGUUGUAAACUGCUUUUGUACCGGAAUAAACCUUCUCUUGCGAGAGAAGCUGAACGUACGGUAAGAAUAAGGAUCGGCUAACUCCGUGC
rnacentral:rRNA from 1 species